UGACUCUUUCCUGGGCUGGAGUGCUGUGGCUUGUUCAUAGAUAACUGUAGCUCAAACUCCUGAGUGCAAACAAUCCUCCUUCCUCAGCCUCCCAAGUAGCUUGGACGACAGGUAUAAUCAUGAUAGCUGCCUAGGGAAAAGGAUGAGACUUGGCUGUUCUAGAAAACUACAGCUUGUGCUGUGGAGAAU